UACGGGAGGCAGCAGUGGGGAAUAUUGCACAAUGGGCGCAAGCCUGAUGCAGCCAUGCCGCGUGUAUGAAAAGGCCUUCGGGUUGUAAAGUACUUUCAGUCGUGAGGAAGGUGUUAAGGUUAAUAACCUUAGCAAUUGACGUUAGCGACAGAAGAAGCACCGGCUAACUCCGUGCCAGCAGCCGCGGUAAUACGGAGGGUGCGAGCGUUAAUCGGAAUUACUGGGCGUAAAGGGCACGCAGGCGGUUAAUUAAGUUGGAUGUGAAAUCCCCGGGCUUAACCUGGGAAUGGCAUUCAAGACUGGUUAGCUAGAGUCUUGUAGAGGGGGUAGAAUUCCAUGUGUAGCGGUGAAAUGCGUAGAGAUGUGGAGGAAUACCGGUGGCGAAGGCGGCCCCUGGACAAAGACUGACGCUCAUGUGCGAAAGCGUGGGGAGCAAACAGGGAUUAGAUACCCGU
rnacentral:rRNA from 1 species